rnacentral:lncRNA from 1 species
GAAAGAUCUCCCAUGCUCAUGGAUUGGCAGGAUUAAUUUAGUAAAAAUGGCCAUUUUACCAAAAGCAAUCUACAGAUUCAAUGCAAUCCCCAUCAAAAUACCAAUCCAAUUCUUCAAAGAGUUAGACAGAACAAUUUUCAAAUUCAUCUGGAAUAACAAAAAACCCAGGAUAGCUAAAGCUAUCCGCAACAAUAAAAGGACUUCAGGGGGAAUCACUAUCCCUGAACUCAAGCAGUAUUACAGAGCAAUAGUGAUAAAAACUGCAUGGUAUUGGUACAGAGACAGACAGAUAGACCAAUGGAAUAGAAUUGAAGACCCAGAAAUG